AGGAAACUUUUCGGAGCUGUCAAUCAGGGCCCAAUCAGCUGACUGUCAGCUGGGACAGGCUGGCUUAACCCUUUGCGCGCCGCAGCCUCCCGGGGAGGGAGCGAAGCCUGGCGCAAAGUUUGGCGCAAGAGGGGAAGGAGUAGUCCCGAGGGGCUUCGGGAACCCGAGAGGACCCUCUGCUUUACUUCGGAGCGCGAGAGAGGCCUGCCUUCCGGAGCGCCGGCUUGCCCUCCCCUCGCUCUGCCGGGGGAUUGGCCUGUCUCCCCUCCCCGGGAGCCCCCAUCCUCGGGACUGCGAAUUCGCUCGGCAUCUUUUUUCCUCUUUUUUCCACCUUUGGCACCCAGGUGUCUGCUCCGGGGACCUUCCUUCCCCGAGCCGUGGCUGUGCCCGGAGCUCAAACUUGGCCCUUCGAACCAAAGAGCGCAAACUCUUUGUCCCUCUUCCCGGGGCCCGCGCGCUCGGGGGCGCAAGGGUGCUGGGGGCUCAGGGUCCCGACUGUGCGCAGGACGCCACUUCUCCGCGUGCAGCCCGAGUGGUUCCGAGUCCGCGCGGGGAGAAAGCCCGUUUUGUCGCCCUCUUUGAAGGAAGGGAGAUAAGUUGUUCGGGGGCCAUUACGCGCGGGGACUGGCUGCCCGCUGGCGUCGCGUGCCCUAGGAGGGGGGGGGGGGGGAGCGAACGCCUACGCGAGUUAACUCCGCAGAAGCUCAGAGCCUGGUCAGCCGGGCUCUGCCCUUGGGCUUCCAACUCUGGCCCGAGUUCGGCCUUAGACAUUCAUAUUUGUCUCUCUGUCUCUGUCUCUCUCUGUCUCACCCCACCUCCCCCAUAGACACACGCACACUCACGCACACGCUCACCCACCCCCAUAUGAAAUCUGACUCCUGUUUAUCAGGGUCCCGCGCGCCCUUUGCACUUUCACGUUUCACUGAAUUAUUUCAGACUUGGCGCUGGAGAGGAGCAAGGGGUGUUUGUACGUGGGGGUAAACAACACCCCAGCCUUCUCCAACUCCCCUCGAAGGGUUAAAUUUUAAACCGCGGUUUCUCGACCAGCCCGGAAACCCACAGUGGGGGUGGGGUGGGGUGGGGUGGGGGGCUGCCUCUCCCCCUCCCCGUUGCAGAUGCUAAUAACUAUUCAGUUUUCUAGAUGGACUCAUUUAAAGCUUAUGCAAAAAAAAAAAAAAAAAAAGAAAAAAAGAAAGAAAGAAAGAAAGAAAGAAAGAAAGAAAGAAAGAAAGAAAAAGUAAAGAAAAAGAAGAGAAAAGAAAGAACCAACAACUGUUUCUAAGAUUUUAAAGCGAUAGGCAAGUCGGAGAAACCGAGAUUUAUUUGGGGGAAAGCAAGCGUGCGCCAAGCCGACCCAGCUUUUGGAAGACCAGCCCGCCUACUUGGAUGUUGAGACUGUUGAUUUCUCCAAUUAAUGAAAUGCAUUUGGUGUUAAUCAUAUUUAUUUUACUUUAUGGGAGGGGGAGACGCUAGGAGGGCGCACUUAAAAAAAAAAAAAAAUUCUGAAAAGCCUGCAAAAGAAUCCAAGAGUGAAAACUAUUGUUGGAUUUUUACCUCAACAGCGCCACCUUUCGGCAAAGAUCGCUGACUUUCCUGCCAUUUCCUGAUGCCAGUUUUGAAGCCAGGAGGCCCCAAGGCGUUUUCUUGAACAGAAGAGUUCAGAAUUUCCAGUGUCCACCUUUGAGCUGCAAUCAGUUCCCCCUGGCCUCUCUUAAAAGGACCUGAGUGUGCAGGCUUUUGCAGAAUCUGCCUUUCCUGACUCCCGUCUCAUCCUCAAACCUGGGAAGGAGAGCAGGAGGGGCCCAUGAGUUACUGAUGACCUGCUGUCUGCGGUAUAUGUCCCGUCUGAGAGCUUGGUAUUGGCUGUUUGAGUAGACCCGGCCCAGGAGCAUCAGGACUCUGGAGGUAUGGCCGGAACUCUUCAGGUCCGUGUCCCUGACUGUGGACUUCAGGCUCUGCGAAGAGCGGCUGGUCAGGACGAGUCGAGUGAUGCGGGUACUGGCAGACUGGGGUGGGGGCACAUGGGCUGGCCCGGAGACAGCCUGCUGAUUCACCCUCUGACCUCAACCAAGCGUUCCGCUGUCUUCCUCCAACUCAUUUUUCGGGCGGCAAACGGACUGGGCCGCGUGAAGAGGGUAACAAAAAUUCUGGAUCGCACGGAGCGAAUGUUCUCAGCCCUCUGAGGUUGACCGUAGGGUCAGUAAACCGUCUGCAAAGACGAAAGCUGACCUGCUGGAUUGUUGCAGAGCCCUGAUGGGUCAUAAGGACAAAGUCAGAUUGUCUUCGGGGUCGACGUGGCCGAGCCAGGCUGGCAGGGUCGGCAUGGCGGGGCCACGCGCCCCCUGCCUCUCCAGGCCAGGGGAUGCUGUGGUUUGUAGUUAACAACGUUGAAAGCCUUUGGAGGCAGGGCAGGGAGGGAGUAGAGCAGGGAUUUCUGAGCGUGGCUAGGGAAGGAGACACAUCCAGGGGACGCUGUGCUUUGGCACCAGGCCAACACAGGUGUGAAUCCUGCUCCGUCCCAGGGGUGACGCCUGAACAAGUCAGCUGACCUCUCGGCCUUCGUUCGCCUCUUGGGGACGGUCUUGUGAUCACGGUGAGCGUGCGCACCAAGUGGUCGCUAGGUAUCCACCUGCCCCCCCUGGUACGUGCCCACAGAACUCCCUCUUCCCGAAAUGGCAAGGUAUCUGCUGACAUUCUCCACACACCAUUUCCACGUAAGGGCCUUGUGGGCGCCAGGGGGUCAGGAACCAUUUCCCUCCUUCUGGCUUAUGCUCCCGCCUUAAAGCUGCAGUCACCUGCCCUGCGUGUGGCUCCUCUCCCUCUCCCCCUCUGUCGAGCCUUUGCACAACGUCGCUCGCCUGGAUCUCCACCCAUCCCCAUCUUCCUUGCCCUCUGUCCGGUCUCCUGGCUAAUUCUGACUCUCCGUGACAUCCUGGGUUUCUCUUAAAAAGCCUCCCCUGCAUCCUCGUGCCCACCAGCCCCCAGGGCAGGCUGGGCGCCUGGUCUGCGCUUACUGCCUUGGAGUUCUGUGGUACCACGUGAGUUCCCCGCGGACCCUCUGAGCCCCGUGAAGCCAGGACAGCGCCUCUCACCCCUCCUUUGCCUACUACAGUGCUUGGCGCACAGCAGGUGCUCAAUUAAUGUUUAUUAACUGAAAGCCACUGAUAAACACUCGGAUCCCUCCCCACUUUCUUCUUCUUCUUUUUUUUUUUUUUUUUUUAAGUUCUAACGCACACAAUGUCCUGCCAAGUGUCCCAGAAAACCUGACUUUGAUGGGGGCAGGGUGGCUGGCUGUUCUGUUGCAACAUGACUGCUCUUACGCUCACUGCUCACUUAGCCCAAUCGGCCCAUCCCUCAAUUACCAGGAUGCUUAUCUUGUUCACUAAUUAGCCUACGUCUCCCCGAGAUGGCACCGGGUAGAGAACGUGGCUGAGGUUCACGGGCCCUGGAACCAAAGUGGAAAUCGGUAACUCUUGCUGGGAUGGAAUUCUUGAUGAGCGGAGGGCGGUGAUUAAAUACCCGGGUGUGAGCACGGUGGGCUCUCUGUAUCCCAGCACGGACUGCCGUCACCGAAGACAGCCCUGUUCCAGCUUUGAGUCACAGCUGCCUCCUCAGGGCUCCAGGCGCAUGGACAAUAUUUUGUAAUCUUCCAAUAAGAAGGCCAGCCCUCCUCCAUUUCCACAUGCCCAGAUCUUGCUCAGUCCUCAAGGCACACCUCCGUGUCCGAGGUUGCACACGAAGCUCUGAGCGUAGUGACUGGCCUCUAAUAAGCGUUUAAUAAAGCUUAGUUGUUAAUGCAGGG